UAAUAGUGUAUUUUAAAGUUGUUGCAGUUAAAAAGCUCGUAGUUGGAAGAUGCAUUUAAAAGUGGGGAUAACAACGUAAGUUGUUAUAACUAUUAUUUAAUUGUAUAAAUUUAUAUAUAUUUGAUUAAAUUAUUAAUUUAAUUUAAUUCCUAGUAAUAGGUUAUACUCUCUUUCGGGUAUAGAAAUUAUAUAUCAUUUACUUUGAGUAAAUUAGAGUGUUUAAAGCAAUUUUUCGAGAAAUUUUGAAUAUUAAAGCAUGGGAUAAUAAAAUAAGACUAUAAAUUGUAUGGUUUUAUUGGUGAUACAAUUUUAUUAUAGUAAUGAUUAAUAGGGAUAGUUGGGGGUAUUUGUAUUUCAUUGUCAGAGGUGAAAUUCUUGGAUUUAUGAAAGACAAACUUAUGCGAAAGCAUUUACCAAGGAUGUUUUCAUUAA
rnacentral:rRNA from 1 species